rnacentral:rRNA from 1 species
CUCACUUGUGGGGGGAUUAGUGGCGAACGGGUGAGUAACACGUGAGUAACCUGCCCUUGACUCUGGGAUAAGCCUGGGAAACCGGGUCUAAUACUGGAUACGACCUUCUGGCGCAUGCCAUGUUGGUGGAAAGCUUUUGUGGUUUUGGAUGGACUCGCGGCCUAUCAGCUUGUUGGUGGGGUAAUGGCCUACCAAGGCGACGACGGGUAGCCGGCCUGAGAGGGUGACCGGCCACACUGGGACUGAGACACGGCCCAGACUCCUACGGGAGGCAGCAGUGGGGAAUAUUGCACAAUGGGCGCAAGCCUGAUGCAGCGACGCCGCGUGAGGGAUGAAGGCCUUCGGGUUGUAAACCUCUUUCAGUAGGGAAGAAGCCGGCCUUUGGGUUGGUGACGGUACCUGCAGAAGAAGCGCCGGCUAACUACGUGCCAGCAGCCGCGGUAAUACGUAGGGCGCAAGCGUUAUCCGGAAUUAUUGGGCGUAAAGAGCUCGUAGGCGGUUUGUCGCGUCUGCCGUGAAAGUCCGGGGCUUAACCCCGGAUCUGCGGUGGGUACGGGCAGACUAGAGUGCAGUAGGGGAGACUGGAAUUCCUGGUGUAGCGGUGAAAUGCGCAGAUAUCAGGAGGAACACCGAUGGCGAAGGCAGGUCUCUGGGCUGUAACUGACGCUGAGGAGCGAAAGCAUGGGGAGCGAACAGGAUU